UGUGAGUCAUUGUAGCAAUACAAGGCAUACGGCUCAGUAACACGUAGUCAAUCUGCCCUAUGGACGUGGAUAACCUCGGGAAACUGAGAAUAAUCCGCGAUAGAUCAUAAUGCCUGGAACGGUUUAUGGUCCAAAUGAUUCGUCGCCAUAGGAUGGGACUGCGGCCUAUCAGCUUGUUGGUGAGGUAAUGGCCCACCAAGGCUAUUACAGGUACGGGCUCUGAGAGGAGAAGCCCGGAGAUGGGUACUGAGACACGGACCCAGGCCCUAUGGGGCGCAGCAGGCGAGAAACCUUUGCAAUGUGCGCAAGCACGACAAGGUUAAUCCGAGUGUUUCCUGCUAAAGGAAUCUUUUGUUAGUUCUAAAACCACUGAUGAAUAAGGGGUGGGCAAGUUCUGGUGUCAGCCGCCGCGGUAAAACCAGCACCUCAAGUGGUCAGGAGGAUUAUUGGGCCUAAAGCAUCCGUAGCCGGUUCUGUAAGUUUCCGGUUAAAUCCACUAGCUCAACUAAUGGGCUGCCGGAAAUACUGCAGAACUAGGGAGUGGGAGAGGUAGACGGUACUCGGGAGGAGGGGGUAAAAUCCUUUGAUCUCUUGAUGACCACCUGUGGCGAAGGCGGUCUACCAGAACACGUUCGACGGUGAGGGAUGAAAGCUGGGGGAGCAAACCGGAUUAGAUACCCGGGUAGUCCCAGCUGUAAACGAUGCAGACUCGGUGAUGCACUGGCUUUUGGCCAGUGCAGUGCCGCAGGGAAGCCGUUAAGUUUGCCGCCUGGGAAGUACGUACGCAAGUAUGAAACUUAA
rnacentral:rRNA from 2 species